GGAGAGAUGGCCGAGCGGUCGAUGGCGGCAGUCUUGAAAACUGUUAGGGGCGCAAGCCUCUCCUGGGUUCGAAUCCCAGUCUCUCCG
rnacentral:tRNA from 1 species